AUCUAACCGAUGAGUCCUAAAUAGGACGAAACGCGUAUCCUGGAU
rnacentral:hammerhead_ribozyme from 1 species